GCCCCCCGGCCCGGGAUAGCCCAGGGAAACCUGGAUUAAUACCGGAUGAGACGGGACCCGCGAAGGCGGGACCCGGGAAGGCGCUGCGGCGCCGGCCGGGGGAUGAGUCUGCGUCCCAUUAGCUAGACGGCGGGGUAACGGCCCACCGUGGCGACGAUGGGUAGCCGGCCUGAGAGGGUGGACGGCCACAUUGGAACUGAGACACGGUCCAGACUCCUACGGGAGGCAGCAGCUAAGAAUCUUCCGCAAUGGGCGAAAGCCUGACGGAGCGACGCCCGCGUGAACGAAGAAGGCCGUGAGGUUGUAAAGUUCUUUUCGGGAGGGGGAACAACCGUGGCAGGGAAUGGCCGCGGGAUGACGUGAAUCCCGGAAUAAGCCCCGGCUAACUACGUGCCAGCCGCAGC
rnacentral:rRNA from 1 species